rnacentral:rRNA from 1 species
AUUGAACGCUGGCGGCAGGCCUAACACAUGCCAGUCGAGCGGAUGAAGGGAGCUUGCUCCUGGAUUCAGCGGCGGACGGGUGAGUAAUGCCUAGGAAUCUGCCUGGUAGUGGGGGAUAACGUCCGGAAACGGGCGCUAAUACCGCAUACGUCCUGAGGGAGAAAGUGGGGGAUCUUCGGACCUCACGCUAUCAGAUGAGCCUAGGUCGGAUUAGCUAGUUGGUGGGGUAAAGGCCUACCAGGGCGACGAUCCGUAACUGGUCUGAGAGGAUGAUCAGUCACACUGGAACUGAGACACGGUCCAGACUCCUACGGGAGGCAGCAGUGGGGAAUAUUGGACAAUGGGCGAAAGCCCGAUCCAGCCAUGCCGCGUGUGUGAAGAAGGUCUUCGGAUUGUAAAGCACUUUAAGUUGGGAGGAAGGGCAGUAAGUUAAUACCUUGCUGUUUUGACGUUACCAACAGAAUAAGCACCGGCUAACUUCGUG